rnacentral:lncRNA from 1 species
GACGCUCAGCUGGAGGGGGAGGGGGAGGGGGCGGGGGUCUCGGGCAGUCAGCUCCGCAAGGAUGUGAGAUUCAGAACAACUCGGGUUCCCACCCAGGUCCUGCCACCCCAGAACGGCGUGCACAGGCCACUGCUCUGAGCCUGUCUCUUCACCUGCAAAGUGGGGGUGGUGACAACUCCCUCCUUCUUGCUGAGAAGAUUUAAUGCCAUGAAGUCUGCACCGUGCUCACCUGCUACCACCGAGACAGGUACACAGCAGGCAGUGAAGGAUGGUGACUUGUUGUUUUCCAGACUCUUAUUUUUAGAAAACUUUCUCAUGCAUGCACUGCUUAACAUCAAAACAAUUUCUCAACCAAUGACUCACUGAAUUCCUUAACACCCCCAACCCACUCCACCCCACGAGGAAGCCGGCUGAGACCCUGAAGCCCACAGAGGGAGGAUGGCGUGCCCCCAGAGGCCCACCUGUUGGGGACAGAUCAAAGAUUGGAACCCCAGCUGAAGGGGCCUUUCGUUCAAAGUCUGCUUUAUAGAUUAGCUCUCCAAGUGACAGGGGAAUCUAGAAAAUAGGUCAUCUCUGGGCUUCGAGGUCCAGACUAGACACCAUGCCUGGGUACAGCACGUUGUGAUAAUCAUCAUUAUUUACAGUCAUAAUAAUAAUAGAAGCUCCUAUUGGGUGCCACUUCCUAUGGCAGUUCCCCCGUCUGUAAAAUGCAGAUGAUAGUGGUAAGUUCACAUUGUGGGAUUGUUGGUGAGGAGGGGUUAAUAUUUGUAAAGCCUGUAGAACAGGGCUCGGCAUACAGCAAACAUUACGUCAUUGAGAACAUUGAAAAUACAGAAGUGUCGUCUGCUAAAGGCUUAAGAUCGCCUCACGUUCUCCUCAGGACACGCCCACAGGAGGCUACCAUUACGUCCAUUUUGCAGGUGGGGAAACUGAGAGCUCAGGGAUGCAUGGGGAGGGCAGGCAUGUUACUCUCCCAAGGACGGGGAGGGCGAGCUCUGAGCGCAUGCAAGUGGGGAGUGCAACCCAGGGCCAUCUGCCUCCAGAUCUAUGGGGCUCCCAUCUGUCCCUCCUCCACUUCUGCAGGUCCCCAGGGGGGAGGCAGGAUGCAGCACGCUCUGGGGAAGGUAUUUCCAGAGGGUGACCUGAGCCCUGGGCCAGGCAGAGGGUUAUUAAUAGUGCCCUGGCUGGGGAGGAUGGCUCCGGGGAAGGGAGUGGGAGGGCGGAGCUGAGCCAGCGUGGGGAGGAGAGACUGCCCAGAGAGGCUGGCUGAACUUGGCUGCCAGGGCCCCUCCCAGCCCCCUGGAGCACAGCUGUUCCCUCAGCGGAUUCUCUGGGGCUGGUUCAUCACCUCGGAAUACUCCUGUGACAGGAGCCACUUGCAAAACCCGCCUCCAGCCCCCAGCAGCAAUAAAUAGAAAGCUCCCAGCCCAGGAGAAGCGAGAAGUUUCUAGGCCUGCCUCCCUGGGUUUAUUAAGCUCCUGGCUCCUCUUUAGACCUCAGCGGCUCUGGCUGCCAGCCUGUGUGGCCUGCGAGGACAGAGACUGGCUGAUCCCUGGUGAGGCAGUACGGAUAAGGGCCCUCUGGGAUUCUGCUGGAUCAGCGGGGGGUCGCCUUUGGUGGCUGGAGUGUCUCUGGGGCCCAGGACCCCAGCCUGGUGUGUGCCUCCGUCCCUGGCAGUGGAUGGUUCAGCAUUUUCUGAAGCUGAAGAAUAAGUUUGGAAGACCAGCCCACCCACAUCAGCUUGCUGUGUGACCUUGGGCAGGUGGCUGUGGUUCUCUGAGCCUCCACUUCCCCUCCAGCUCAGCGGCCACCAUGGCUGAUGGUCAGAUGCCCUUCCCCUACACGGGCCGCCUGCGCCGGGACCCCUUCCGAGACUCGCCCCUCUCCUCCCGCCUGCUGGAUGAUGGCUUUGGCAUGGACCCCUUCCACGACAAUUUGACUGCCUCUUGGCAUGACUGGGGCCUGCCUCCAUUCUCCUCGGCCUGGCCGGGGACCCUGAGGUCGGGCAUGGUGCCCCGGGGGCCCACCGCCACGGCCAGGUUUGGGGUACCUGCUGAGGGCAGGACCCCCCCACCGUUCCCUGGGGAGCCCUGGAAAGUGUGUGUCAACGUGCACAGCUUCAAGCCGGAGGAGCUGAUGGUGAAGACCAAGGACGGAUACGUGGAGGUGUCUGGCAAACACGAGGAGAAGCAGCAAGAAGGCGGCAUUGUUUCCAAGAACUUCACAAAGAAAAUCCAAGGAAUUUUCCAAAGUCUACACGACCGAUAACAUCACAGCAGACUCAGAAGCAGCCAUGAGAAUCCAGCUUUCUUCUAUCGUCAGACACUCAAGAG